CCCGUUCGCCGAAAGACCAAGGGUUCCAGUCCAACGUUAAUCGGGGCUGGGUGAGUCGACCCCUAAGGCGAGGCCGAAAGGCGUAGUCGAUGGGAAAAUGGUUAAUAUUCCAUUACUUCUGUGUAAUGCGAUGAGAGGACGGAGAAGGCUAAAUCAGCCUGGCGUUGGUUGUCCAGGUGAAAGGAUGUAGGCAUGUAUCUUAGGCAAAUCCGGGGUACUCUAUGCUGAGAUCUGAUAGCAAGCUGUACUUGUACAGCGAAGUGGUUGAUGCCAUGCUUCCAGGAAAAGUCUCUAAGCUUCAGUUACACAGGAAUCGUACCCGAAACCGACACAGGUGGUCAGGUCGAGUAGACCAAGGCGCUUGAGAGAACUCUGCUGAAGGAACUAGGCAAAAUGGUACCGUAACUUCGGGAGAAGGUACGCUGUUGUUGGUGAUGGAACUCGCUUCCUGAGCUGACGACAGCCGCAGAAACCAGGCCGCUGCAACUGUUUAUUAAAAACAUAGCACUCUGCAAACACGAAAGUGGACGUAUAGGGUGUGAUGCCUGCCCGGUGCUGGAAGGUUAAUUGAUGGGGUUAGCGUAAGCGAAGCUCUUGAUCGAAGCCCCAGUAAACGGCGGCCGUAACUAUAACGGUCCUAAGGUAGCGAAAUUCCUUGUCGGGUAAGUUCCGACCUGCACGAAUGGCAUAAUGAUGGCGGCGCUGUCUCCAGCAGAGGCUCAGUGAAAUCGAAAUCGCUGUGAAGAUGCAGUGUACCCGCGGCUAGACGGAAAGACCCCGUGAACCUUUACUGCAGCUUGACACUGAACUUUGACCUUACUUGUGUAGGAUAGGUGGGAGGCUUUGAAGCUGGAACGCUAGUUCCAGUGGAGCCGUCCUUGAAAUACCACCCUGGUAAUGUUGAGGUUCUAACUCUGUCCCGUGAUCCGGGACGAGGACCGUGUCUGGUGGGUAGUUUGACUGGGGCGGUCUCCUCCUAAAGAGUAACGGAGGAGUACGAAGGUGCGCUCAGCGUGGUCGGAAAUCACGCGUAGAGUAUAAAGGCAAAAGCGCGCUUAACUGCGAGACCCACAAGUCGAGCAGGUACGAAAGUAGGUCUUAGUGAUCCGGUGGUUCUGUAUGGAAGGGCCAUCGCUCAACGGAUAAAAGGUACUCUGGGGAUAACAGGCUGAUACCGCCCAAGAGUUCAUAUCGACGGCGGUGUUUGGCACCUCGAUGUCGGCUCAUCUCAUCCUGGGGCUGAAGCAGGUCCCAAGGGUAUGGCUGUUCGCCAUUUAAAGAGGUACGCGAGCUGGGUUUAGAACGUCGUGAGACAGUUCGGUCCCUAUCUACCGUGGGCGCUGGAAAUUUGAGAGGAUCUGCUCCUAGUACGAGAGGACCAGAGUGGACGAACCUCUGGUGUACCGGUUGUGACGCCAGUCGCAUCGCCGGGUAGCUAUGUUCGGAAGGGAUAACCGCUGAAAGCAUCUAAGCGGGAAGCCUACCUCAAGAUAAGAUUUCCCUAGGACUUUAUGUCCUCUAAAGAGCCGUUCGAGACUAGGACGUUGAUAGGUUGGAUGUGGAAGCAUAGUGAUAUGUGAAGCUGACCAAUACUAAUUGCUCGUGAGGCUUGACUAU
rnacentral:rRNA from 2 species